UACGAAGGGGGCUAGCGUUGCUCGGAAUCACUGGGCGUAAAGCGCACGUAGGCGGCUUUCUAAGUCAGGGGUGAAAUCCUGGAGCUCAACUCCAGAACUGCCUUUGAUACUGGGAAGCUCGAAUCCGGAAGAGGUGAGUGGAACUCCGAGUGUAGAGGUGAAAUUCGUAGAUAUUAGGAAGAACACCAGUGGCGAAGGCGGCUCACUGGUCCGGUACUGACGCUGAGGUGCGAAAGCGUGGGGAGCAAACAGG
rnacentral:rRNA from 1 species